GCAUUUGCCAAAGGUGCCUUAGAAGAAAGGGAAAGAACUGGAACAGGUCAGCAAGUCCCAUGCUAAUGGGACUCAUGUCAAGCUGGGUCAAGUUGGGGUGUAGAUCUCUCAUUGAGAGCUAAAGCAUGGCGCUAAAAUAAGGGAAAGCAGAGACAUAGAAAACAAUCAAAUCUGAAGAAACCAGAGGAUGGAGAUGGAGGCUGUAGAACAAGGUGGGAAUGGAAGCUGGUGGAGAACAAUAAGGUCCUGCUGAGGAUCCCUGGUGCCCAGUAGGGAACACCGUGAGGAGGAGGAUUAAGAAAGGCACCCUUUCCACUGAUUUGCAUCGCCAUUUGUACAUGGAGUUUGGCUACAGCAAAAUCCGUUGCUAUCUCACCAGCUACAAGAAGCAAAGAACGAAUUGCAAUUCAUUUUUGUGCUCUAGGACCCGGUUGAGGUCUCCUUGCUGACAAAAAAGGAAAUGACUUCUGAAGACAUGAAAAAAAAAAAACAGGGUGAAGACAAAUUGGGUUAGAAUAACCCAUGACCUAGAUCAUUAGACUUUGACUAAUGAAGAACUGCCUUUUAACAGAGUUAAAAUUGACAGCACCAUGGCCUCACACCCAACAGGGUUUGAGGCUGGACCCUUCUUUGACAAACGAUGCCCUGAUUUACGCGCAAAAAUACCCAUCACAGCAUUAUUUAUAAUAUUCCCUGUCCAAUGCUGGGGACCUAGUUCAAUUAGCUAUAGAACAGCCAUUUGAUGAAAUAUUAUAAAGCUAUUAAAAUAAUAGGGGCAAAGAAAUUUUAAAACAUGGGGAAAGCCUUGAUGUUGUAAUAUUAAAUGAAUGAAGGAAUUCUAUGAAUGAAACUCAUUAAAACAUGUCUUCACAGUA
rnacentral:lncRNA from 1 species